rnacentral:rRNA from 1 species
UACGUAGGGAGCAAGCGUUGUCCGGAAUCAUUGGGCGUAAAGCGCGCGUAGGUGGCUUCGUAAGUCCGGUGUGAAAGUCACAGGCUCAACCUGUGAAUGCCGCUGGAAACUGUCUGGCUAGAGUCCGGAAGGGGCGAGUGGAAUUCCUGGUGUAGCGGUGAAAUGCGCAGAUAUCAGGAGGAACACCAAUGGCGAAGGCAGCUCGCUGGAACGGUACUGACGCUGAGGCGCGAAAGCGUGGGGAGCGAACAGG